CUGGUUUGGAUGCUCUAGAGACCUUAGAAAAGGUCCUUUUAAAUAGGCACAAAGAUUGAAUCCUAUUCAAUCAUAUAAUACAGUCCUACUUGCAUUGGGUUUUCUAUUAACUUAAGUUAUCCAACUUACUUUAGGAGACCCUUUAGGUGCCAACAAUUUGAGCUCUUGCACUCAUAAUUAGACACCCCAAAAUACACCCA
rnacentral:lncRNA from 1 species